rnacentral:rRNA from 1 species
UACACUCCUACGGGAGGCAGCAGUGGGGAAUUUUGGACAAUGGGCGAAAGCCUGAUCCAGCAAUGCCGCGUGAGUGAAGAAGGCCUUCGGGUUGUAAAGCUCUUUUGUCAGGGAAGAAACGGUGAGAGCUAAUAUCUUUUGCUAAUGACGGUACCUGACGAAUAAGCACCGGCUAACUACGUGCCAGCACCCGCGGUAAUACGUAGGGUGCAAGCGUUAAUCGGAAUUACUGGGCGUAAAGCGUGCGCAGGCGGUUUUGUAAGUCUGAUGUGAAAUCCCCGGGCUCAACCUGGGAAUUGCAUUGGAGACUGCAAGGCUAGAAUCUGGCAGAGGGGGGUAGAAUUCCACGUGUAGCAGUGAAAUGCGUAGAUAUGUGGAGGAACACCGAUGGCGAAGGCAGCCCCCUGGGUCAAGAUUGACGCUCAUGCACGAAAGCGUGGGGAGCAAACAGGAUUAGAAACCCGGGUAGUCCCAUGA